GAUGAACGCUGGCGGCGUGCUUAACACAUGCAAGUCGAACGGAAAGGCCCAAGCUUGCUUGGGUACUCGAGUGGCGAACGGGUGAGUAACACGUGGGUGAUCUGCCCUGCACUUCGGGAUAAGCCUGGGAAACUGGGUCUAAUACUGGAUAGGACCACUUCUUGGAUGGUGUGGUGGAAAGUUUUUUCGGUGUGGGAUGAGCUCGCGGCCUAUCAGCUUGUUGGUGGGGUAAUGGCCUACCAAGGCGUCGACGGGUAGCCGGCCUGAGAGGGUGUACGGCCACAUUGGGACUGAGAUACGGCCCAGACUCCUACGGGAGGCAGCAAUGGGGAAUAUUGCACAAUGGGCGCAAGCCUGAUGCAGCGACGCCGCGUGGGGGAUGACGGCCUUCGGGUUGUAAACUCCUGUCGCUAGGGACGAAGCGUUUUUGUGACGGUACCUGGAGAAGAAGCACCGGCUAACUACGUG
rnacentral:rRNA from 1 species